rnacentral:rRNA from 1 species
GACGAGGGGUCCUAGCGUUGUUCGGAAUCACUGGGCGUAAAGCGUAUGUAGGCGGCUUUCUAAGUCGGUUGUGAAAUCCCAUGGCUUAACCAUGGAAUUGCAUUCGAAACUGGAGAGCUUGAGUGUGGGAGAGAUUGGUAGAAUACCUGGUGUAGUGGUGAAAUACGUAGAUAUCAGGUGGAAUACCGGUGGCGAAGGCAGCUCGCUGGGACGUUACUGACGCUGAGACGCGAAAGCGUGGGGAGCAAACAGG